AGAGUUUGAUCAUGGCUCAGAGUGAACGCUGGCGGCAGGCCUAAUACAUGCAAGUCGAACGGCAGCACAGCAGAGCUUGCUCUGUGGGUGGCGAGUGGCGGACGGGUGAGGAAUACGUGGGAAUCUGCCCAGUCGUGGGGAUAACGUAGGGAAACUUACGCUAAUACCGCAUGCGCCCUUCGGGGGAAAGCCGGGGACCUUCGGGCCUGGCGCGAUUGGAUGAGCCCACGUCGGAUUAGCUAGUUGGCGGGUAAAGGCCCACCAAGGCGACGAUCCGUAGCUGGGUCUGAGAGGAUGAUCAGCCACACUGGAACUGAGACACGGCCCAGACUCCUACGGGAGGCAGCAGUAGGGAAUAUUGGACAAUGGGCGCAAGCCUGAUCCAGCCAUGCCGCGUGAGUGAAGAAGGCCCUCGGGUUGUAAAGCUCUUUUGUCCGGAAAGAAAAGCGCCGGGUUAAUACCCUGGUGUCCUGACGGUACCGGAAGAAUAAGCACCGGCUAACUUCGUG
rnacentral:rRNA from 1 species